rnacentral:rRNA from 1 species
AGAGUUUGAUCAUGGCUCAGGAUAAACGCUGGCGGCGUGCUUAAUACAUGCAAGUCGAACGGGGAAGUGCUUUCGGGCGCUUCCCAGUGGCGGACGGGUGAGUAACGCGUGGGCAACCUGCCCUGUACAGGGGGAUAACAGCCGGAAACGGCUGCUAAUACCGCGUAAGCCUGCGGCGCCGCAUGGGGCUGCGGGGAGAGGAGGAAUCCGGUACAGGAUGGGCCCGCGUCUGAUUAGCCAGUUGGCAGGGUAACGGCCUACCAAAGCGACGAUCAGUAGCCGAUCUGAGAGGAUGUACGGCCACAUUGGGACUGAGACACGGCCCAGACUCCUACGGGAGGCAGCAGUAAGGGAUAUUGCACAAUGGGGGGAACCCUGAUGCAGCGACGCCGCGUGAGUGAAGAAGUAUUUCGGUAUGUAAAGCUCUAUCAGCAGGGAAGAAGUAGGACGGUACCUGAGUAAGAAGCACCGGCUAAAUACGUGCCAGCAGCCGCGGUAAUACGUAUGGUGCAAGCGUUAUCCGGAUUUACUGGGCGUAAAGGGAGCGUAGGUGGCUUGGUAAGCCGGAAGUGAAACCCCCGGGCUCAACCUGGGGCUUGCUUUUGAAACUGCCGUGCUGGAGUGCAGGAGGGGCAGGCGGAAUUCCUGGUUGUAGCGGUGAAAUGCGUAGAAUAUCAGGAGGAACCCCGGAGGCGAAGGCGGCCUGCUGGACUGUACUGACACUGAGGCUCGAAGGCGUGGGGAGCAACCGGAUUAGAUACCCUGGGUAGUCCACGCAGUAACGAUGAAUACUAGAUGCG